CCAACCUUACAUAAAAUCUCAUCUUGCAUAUUAGCCAUUGCAAGCUCAUCAAAGUAUGACGCCCCUAUGGAUUCUCUUCAUACUCUUCCUCCUCUUCAUUAUUCAUCUAAGAAGAAGGAAAAGGACGUUGAAUCCUCGCCGGAGACUUCCUCCGGGCCAACCACCACUCCCCUUCAUCGGAAACCUCCAUGAGCUCCUCGGCGACCUCCCCCACAUCACCCUCCGCAACCUCUCUCAUAAGUACGGCCCGCUCAUCCACCUCAAAUUAGGCCAAAUCCCGACCAUCAUCGCCUCCUCGCCGGAAACCGCCGCAGAUAUCAUCAAAACAUAAGAUUUCGUCUUCUGCAGCCGCCCGUUCUUCGCCACCACCGACCGCUUCUCCUACGGCGGCCUCGACAUCGCUUUCUCUCCUUAUAAUGAUCACUGGCGGCGUAUCAGAAGGUUUGUCAACGCCGAGAUCUUCAGCGCUGCGAGAGUACAGCAAUCGAUGUGUUGCCCUAGCGAGCUCCAUUGCUACUUCCUACGUCAAAGUCAUCGAUGCCUUGUUCUAGACCAAAACGUGCGAAGGUGACAACAAUGACAUGAUCGACGUCAUGAGAACACAUGCGAGAUGAUGAGACAUAAACAAGACGAUGUUUGGGUUUUAUUGAUAUUUAAAACUUUAAGUGUUAUCUGAAUAAAUAAGAAGUUUAUAUGUUAAAUAUAUAAAUUUGAAAAAUUUUGUCUACUAUGUAUAUGAAUUCUCCUAUAAUUUUUUUAUUUUAA